CUUGGAUCAUAGCUGGGCCUGCUCGCGAGGCCCCAAUUUGAGAGUCUACCGGUUAAAAAAAUCCAGCACAAAUGGGCUAACGCUGAUAACCAGAUGAGGGCCUCAGUACCAACGUUUGAAGCAUACACGGUGUUUAUGAGCAUUUUUGACUCUGACCCAACCAUUAAUGCAUUUAAAACACACUUGCAAUAUCAUUUAAAUGUCAACAUAUAUUCUCAGGUUAAAACAAAACCCCUUCACACACUAAUAAACCUUUACACAAUUUAUCUGUCACUUAGCAUUACAACAGAAAAAUCAUAAUUCAAAUUCAAACUUAGCAUUACAUCUAUCGAAAUAAGUGCUUGCUUUUAAUUUAAAACACAAAACAAUGGCCUGGACAGUCACUUUCAGGGAUUACUUUAUGCAUUUCUGGGCAAUUCUAUUAAACUAGCUACUUCAUGCUAAUGUGACAAGAAUGCAACUAUCCAUACUCAUGGAAAAUAACUCAAUACCAACUAAAGUUAACAAGUGUAAAUAAGAGUCCUAAAUACAGAUCUUAAAGUGAAUUUCAAAUGUUCAUGGCAUAUCAUUAUUUAACGUACCAAAACAAACAACAUAAAUGGACAAAUCGAGUAAAAAACAGAACUGAGGGAAAACAUCUAUCAAGCACGGAACUCUUCAUUUCUUCAAAACACAUGAACCCUUCUUACAUGUCUAGAAUCAGGAAUGUGUACCUGGAAAUCAAGAAGGAAACAAGGGGAAUAAGGAGUCAAUAACAGCAACAGUAGGUCAGCCCAGAAUCAGCAAGGAAGAGAUAACAAACAGUAAUCAAACCCAAUUUUGAAUCCCAGAUUUAGCUUAGAACACAAUUCCAGAACCAGACUCGGUUCAACCAACUUUAGAUAUCAAAUUAAACCUUCCCUAGCCUCAUGUGAAUCAAAAAUGACUUCAGAAAAAUGAACCUCGAGCAUCAGAAUAGAAAUCAAUGGAACAGUCAAUUUCUAUGACAUUUCAGCUGUUUUUUGUUUUUUGUAUUCUCUAUAUCUUCUAAUCCCUUAUGAAACAGUAGAUUUUUUUUGCAGUUUUUCUAUAUUUUCUGGAUUUCAGCUCUCAGAAAUCUCUGCCUUCAAAGGCAAGAAAAGCUGCCUUUAUAGUCAAGGCACUAGGGCAGCUAAAGGAGGAUCAGAUUUGCA
rnacentral:lncRNA from 1 species